GCAUAGCUGCAUAGCUCAGUCAGUAGAGCAUGCAACUCUUAAUCUCAGGGUUGUGGGUUCAGUCCCCAUGUUGGGUG